UCCUACGGGAGGCAGCAGUAGGGAAUCUUCCGCAAUGGGCGAAAGCCUGACGGAGCAACGCCGCGUGAGUGAUGAAGGGUUUCGGCUCGUAAAACUCUGUUAUUAGGGAAGAACAAAUGUGUAAGUAACUGUGCACGUCUUGACGGUACCUAAUCAGAAAGCCACGGCUAACUACGUGCCAGCAGCCGCGGUAAUA
rnacentral:rRNA from 1 species